rfam:Asian citrus Psyllid, Diaphorina citri - Florida Strain, whole genome shotgun sequence.
GCUCCCAUGGCGUAGUGGUCACUGAGCUCGCCUUGCACGCGGGAGACCCGGGUUCGAUUCCCGGCGGGGUCA